GACGAACGCUGGCGGCGUGCUUAACACAUGCCAGUCGAACGGAAAGGCCCUGCUUUUGUGGGGUGCUCGAGUGGCGAACGGGUGAGUAACACGUGAGUAACCUGCCCUUGACUUUGGGAUAACUUCAGGAAACUGGGGCUAAUACCGGAUAGGAGCUCCUGCUGCAUGGUGGGGGUUGGAAAGUUUCGGCGGUUGGGGAUGGACUCGCGGCUUAUCAGCUUGUUGGUGGGGUAGUGGCUUACCAAGGCUUUGACGGGUAGCCGGCCUGAGAGGGUGACCGGCCACAUUGGGACUGAGAUACGGCCCAGACUCCUACGGUAGGCAGCAGUGGGGAAUAUUGCGCAAUGGGCGGAAGCCUGAUGCAGCAACGCCGCGUGCGGGAUGACGGCCUUCGGGUUGUAAACCGCUUUCGCCUGUGACGAAGCGUGAGUGACGGUAAUGGGUAAAGAAGCACCGGCUAACUACGUG
rnacentral:rRNA from 1 species